CCGGUAAACGGCGGCCGUAACUAUAACGGUCCUAAGGUAGCGAAAUUCCUUGUCGGGUAAGUUCCGACCUGCACGAAUGGCGUAAUGAUGGCCAGGCUGUCUCCACCCGAGACUCAGUGAAAUUGAACUCGCUGUGAAGAUGCAGUGUACCCGCGGCAAGACGGAAAGACCCCGUGAACCUUUACUAUAGCUUGACACUGAACAUUGAGCCUUGAUGUGUAGGAUAGGUGGGAGGCUUUGAAGUGUGGACGCCAGUCUGCAUGGAGCCGACCUU
rnacentral:rRNA from 1 species